UACGUAGGGUGCAAGCGUUAAUCGGAAUUACUGGGCGUAAAGCGUGCGCAGGCGGUUUUGUAAGUCUGACGUGAAAUCCCCGGGCUCAACCUGGGAAUUGCGUUGGAGACUGCAAGGCUGGAGUCUGGCAGAGGGGGGUAGAAUUCCACGUGUAGCAGUGAAAUGCGUAGAGAUGUGGAGGAAUACCGAUGGCGAAGGCAGCCCCCUGGGCUAACACUGACGCUCAUGCACGAAAGCGUGGGGGGCAAACAGG
rnacentral:rRNA from 1 species